rnacentral:rRNA from 1 species
GUCUUAUUGAAAUUAAUUUUAAGUCGAUCUGCCCAAUGAGAAAUUAAAUGGCUGCAGUAUAACUGACUGUACAAAGGUAGCAUAAUCAAUUGGUUUUUAAAUGAAAUCUGGAAUGAAAGGAUUAAUGAAAUAUAUACUGUCUCAUAUUUAUUAUAUGAAUUUAAAAUUUUAAUAAAAAUGUUAAAAUUUUUUUAUGGGACGAUAAGACCCUAUAGAAUUUUAUAUUAAUUUUUUUUAUAUUAUUAAUAUUUAAAUGAAAAUUAAUAUUUAGUUGGGAGAAUUAUUAAAUUUAAUUAAUUUUAAUUAAUAAAAACUUUAAUUAAAGAAUAUAAAUUUGAUUUUUAAUUUAAUAUUAUUAGAAUAAAUUACCUUAGGGAUAACAGCGUUAUAUUUUUUUAUAGAUCUUAUAGAAAAAAAUGAUUGCGACCUCGAUGUUGAAUUAAGAUAAAUUUUAAAUGUAGAAGUUUAAUGAUUAAGUCUGUUCGACUUUUAAAAUCUUACAUGAUUUGAGUUCAAAUCGACGUAAGU